rnacentral:rRNA from 1 species
CCCUUAGAUGUCCUGGGCCGCACGCGCGCUACACUGAUGCAUGCAACGAGUUUAUAACCUUGGCCUGAAAGGUCUGGGUAAUCUUUUGAACGAGCAUCGUGAUAGGGAUAGAUUAUUGCAAUUAUCCCUCUUGAACGAGGAAUACCUUGUAAGCACGGGUCAUCAUCCCGUGCUGAAUACGUCCCUGCCCUUUGUACACACCGCCCGUCGCUCCUACCGAUUGAGUGGUCCGGUGAGGCCUUGGGAGGGCUAAGUGGGCUGUGUUUCACAGACUACCUGGCCCGAACCUGGUCAAACCUUAUCACUUAGAGGAAGGAGAAGUCGUAACA